GCUGCAGGCCUCCCUCUACCCUGGUUUUCUUUCUGAUUCAAGGCUCACCACUGACUGGACAGAAACCUGAGGAAUUAUGUACAUUUCCCAGGAAUACCCGUGUGCAUCUGCUCUCCUUUUCUCAUCAGGACAUCUUUGGUGAACAUUUCCUGACAGAGCUGUGCUGGGAACGGCCCCGGGGAAUUUAUCCUUCUUGUCUUUGACCUUGUUUUCUCAAGAGACUGCUAGGGGUCAAAUGAUAAAGAUAAGGGGCAUUCACUGGAGGAGAAAAGGAUCAUCGAAGAGGAAAGCUGCUUUCUGCUUCUUCCACUCCAGCUGUUGCCAGUGCCUUCAACUCUAAUCUUUGGUGCUCAAUUGAUUUUUCAACAGAGAAAACCCAGAAACAAUAUCUAACAAGAUCAGAGCAGAGGAAGGAGAGGAAUGGCAAAUAAACAUUUUCCAGUGUCGAGUUA
rnacentral:lncRNA from 1 species